GCGGGCGUGGUGAAAUUGGUAAACACAAGGGACUUAAAAUCCCUCGGCCUUAUGGCCUUGCCGGUUCAAGUCCGGCCGCCCGCACCA
rnacentral:tRNA from 1 species